GGGGAGAAUGUACAAACUCCAUACAAACAGCACCAGUAGUCGGGAUCGAACCUGGGUUGCCGGUGCUGCAGCAACUCUACCGCUGCACCACCUGAGUGCAGGUGGGUUAGGAGAAAAGUAAUUUACAAUCUUUACAAUAUAUAUUAAUGAUCUGGAUGAGGGAAUUGAAGGCAAUAUCUCCAAGUUUGCGGAUGACACUAAGCUGGGGGGCAGUGUUAGCUGUGAGGAGGAUGCUAGGAGACUGCAAGGUGACUUGGAUAGGCUGGGUGAGUGGGCAAAUGUUUGGCAGAUGCAGUAUAAUGUGGAUAAAUGUGAGGUUAUCCAUUUUGGUGGCAAAAACGGGAAAGCAGACUAUUAUCUAAAUGGUGGCCGAUUGGGAAAGGGGGAGAUGCAGCGAGACCUGGGGUGUCAUGGUACACCAGUCAUUGAAGGUAGGCAUGCAGGUGCAGCAGGCAGUAAAGAAAGCGAAUGGUAUGUUAGCUUUCAUUGCAAAAGGAUUUGAGUAUAGGAGCAGGGAAGUUCUACUGCAGUUGUACAGGGUCUUGGUGAGACCACACCUGGAGUAUUGUGUACAGUUUUGGUCUCCAAAUCUGAGGAAGGACAUUAUUGCCAUAGAGGGAGUGCAGAGACGGUUCACCAGACUAAUUCCUGGGAUGUCAGAACUGUCUUAUGAAGAAAGACUGGAUAGACUUGGUUUAUACUCUCUAGAAUUUAGGAAAUUGAGAGGGGAUCUUAUAGAAACUUACAAAAUUCUUAAGGGUUUGGACAGGCUAGAUGCAGGAAGAUUGUUCCCGAUGUUAGGGAAGUCCAGUACAAGGGGUCACAGCUUAAGGAUAAGGGGGAAAUCCUUUAAAACCGAGAUGAGAAGAACUUUUUUCACACAGAGAGUGGUGAAUCUCUGGAACUCUCUGCCACAGAGGGUAGUUGAGGCCAGUUCAUUGGCUAUAUUUAAGAGGGAGUUAGAUGUGGCCCUUGUGGCUAAGGGGAUCAGGGGGUAUGAAGAGAAGGCAGGUACGGGAUACUGAGUUAGAUGAUCAGCCAUGAUCAUAUUGAAUGGCGGUGCAGGCUCGAAGGGCCGAAUGGCCUACUCCUGCACCUAAUUUCUAUGUUUCUAUGUUUCUAUGAGAGGUGCGUGGGAGUGUGUGUCUCACUGGUGUGCAGCUCUCCAUGUGAAAUCAUCAUAUAUCUCCCCAAAUCGCUCCAUAUGCGGCAACUAAUUUGAGGAUGGACAUCCUUAGGACUGAUGCAGUGCAGUGUAGGUUCAUAAGAUUGAUCCCUGGGAUGGCGGGACUGUCAUAUGAGUAAAGAUUGAAAAGGCUAGGCUUGUAUUCACUGGAGUUUAGAAGGAUGAGGGGGAAUCUUAUAGCAACAUAUAAAAUUAUAAAAGGACUGGACAAGCUAGAUGCAGGAAAAAUGUUCCCAAUGUUGGGCGAGUCCAGAACCAGGGGCCACAGUCUUAGAAUAAAGGGUAGGCCAUUUAAGACUGAGGUGAAAAAAAAAGUUUACACCCAUAGAAUUGUGAAUUUGUGGAAUUCCCUGCCACAGAGGGCAGUGGAGGCCAAGUCACUGGAUGGAUUUAUGAAAGAGUUAGAUAGAGCUCUAGGGGCUAGUGGAAUCAAGAGAUAUGGGGAGAAGGUAGGCAUGGGUUAUUGAUUGGGGACGAUCAGCCAUGAUCACAAUGAAUGGCGGUGCUGGCUCGGGGCCGAAUGGUCUCCUCCUGCACAUAUUUUCUAUGUUUCUAUGUUUCUAUGUAACUCUUAUCCUCAGAGCAUAUAUUGGAGCCACAUCAAACCAGAUGGGCUUGAUGGACUGUGCACACAGGAGCUUCCUUUUGGCAUACGUACACAAAGAUUUCUGUGUGCCCCUAUAUGAAUGCGAGAGCUUUUUUUCUCUUGCCUACAACUCACUCUCUCUUAUGUCAGCUGCUGCUGUUAUGUUCCUAUCGGGCGAAUGUGCAGUCAAACAUCAACAUUCAUACUGAACGGAGUGUGGUUUGUGCACAACCACAGGGCAUCUUUCAAAGCCUUUUGUUAAAUGUCCAAACCACCACUUCAAACUUACUUUUAGCCACUUUUACAAUUCUUUAAAGUAGGUCUGAAUCAGGGGUCAAUAAGUCCCAGGGCCAAAAGAAAACCGCACUUAGUACUCAGUAGGGUCUGCCGGACUGUAAGGUUUCAGGGAAUUAGUUCAAUGCUUAUAUGCAAAUUGAAAAGAAAAUCACACAAUUCUGGAAAUUUGACCGGGCAAAUCCAGUCCUUAUUGUGCAUUUGUUUGUAGUUUUAGUUUUAGAGAUACAGCACGGAAACAGGCCAUUCAGCCAAGUGAGUCCUCACUGACCAGCGAUUCCCGCACACUUACACACACUAUAUUUGAGGCAGUGACUCCUCAAUGGUGGGGAGGGCACAACCUGUGAUGGACUGGGCAUUGUUCACCACUUUUUGCUGUCUUCUUCGCUCCUGGACAUUCAAGUUGCCGAACCAGGCUGUGAUGCAAUCAGUCAACAUGCUCUCUACACACCUGUAGAAAUCCAAGAGAGUCCUCUCUGACAUACCAAAUCUCCACAAUCUUCUCAACAAGUGGAGGCGUUUAUGAGAUUUCUUUAUCAUUACAUCAGUGUGCUAGGUCCAGGAAGGAUCUUCAGAAAUAUGCACGCCAAGGAAUUUGAAGCUAUUUUGAAGAGGUCCACAGUCCUCUUCCAACUCAUUGCCACAGAGGGCUGUGGAGGCCAAGUCAGUGGAUACUUUUUAAGGCAGAGAUGGACAAAUUGUUGAUUAGAACAGGUGUCAAGGGUUAUGGGGAGAAGGCAGGAAAUGGGAAUAGAGAUCAGCCAUGAUUGAAUGGCGGAGUUGACUCGAUGGGCCGAAUGGCCUAAUUCUACUCCUCUCACUUGUGAACUUGUGAACCUCUGACCUCCCAGAGCCACUGUAGUUCUGCUGAUUACUGACUGCCAACACAUUCCCCUGAGCCUCUCAGCCAUUCCCUCAAACCCAGCUUGUCUUUCUGAUGAACACCAGCCCUGGGAUGCAGCCUGUGCCGCUGAGUUACCCCAGCAUUUUGUGUCUACCUUGGGUGUAAACCAGCAUCUGCAGUUCCUUCCCACUCAUCAAUCAUAUCUGAUAUUUAUAAAUAAAGAACUGAAGUAGACGUAAUUUGAACAUUAAAAGUGGUUUUCUGACUGGAGCCUGGCCUACUGUCCUGGGAGCACACGAUGUUACCAUGAACUUAUCUCGAUUCUGUCAGAAUCAUUGAUUUGUCUUCUACACUCUGUGUUAAUGACCUUUCUUUGCUGUCAUUUCCCAUGCAUUGAACGGUUUGAAUACAACUAUAAUAAGAACUAUUAUCGUUAUGAAAGCGGCAGUUUACAUUUUGAUAUUAAUAAGCUGUUAAUUUUGGGCUGAGAUAAUUUAUGGCAACAUUGCUGAUAGGAGCGCAAAGUUGGAAAAUAUUUGUAGAGAAAUGACAUAAAAACAAUUAGCUGACAUUGGAAAUAACGGAGCAAUUUUAAAGUGGCAAGCAUGCAGCACCCUCUCUCAUCCUGCCUCUUGCAAAGAUGCUAUCCCCUGCUCUCAAUGUCUUCAUCUACGCCACAUCUACUUGUAUGAUGAGGCUUUGCAUUCCAGAACACCUGAGAUAGGGUCAUAGAGUCUUACAGCAUGGAAACAGGCCCUUCAGCCCAACUUGUCCACACAUGUCCCAUGUACACCAGUCCCACCUGCCUGCAUUUGUCCCAUGCCCCUCUAAACCUGUCCUAUCCAUGUACCUGUCUAAAUGUUUCUUAAAUGUGUGGGCUUUAAACUUAUCCCAUUUACUUUUAGUUUGAAAUAUCAUAAUAUUAUAAUCUCGGAUCAUGCACCUUUAACAUGCAUGAUUAAACUAAAUUGAAUGACCGAGAAGCAGGCCCAAUGGAUACUUAAUCCUCAAAUUUUAAAUGAUAAAGCAUGCUACGAAUUUCUUAUUACACAGAUUAAUAUGUUUUUCAAGACAAAUGACCGCCCUGAAACAUCUGUCUCACCUCUUCUUUGGGAAACAUUCAAAGCAUUUGUAGGAGGAGCGUUAACCUCCUCUCAAGCCAUCCAUAAUAAAAAUAAUCGAGCUAAACAACAUGUAUUAGAAAUGGAAAUAAGGCAAUUAGAUAUAGAGAAUGCUCCCACACUAUAUGACCUAUUAUUUACACAUAUAACAUAUAACUAACUAACUAAUUAACUACUUAUGCGCAAUAAACUCAACUAACGUUAAAGGCGUAAUGUACUAUACUAACACGACUAACUAUAUAGCAAGAAGGAUGGGGGAGGUUAGACAUAUAUUUUAAAUACUAAUUAUAAAUUAACUAACAUACAGGUUAAUGAAAAGUGUAAUUAUUGACGAGGUAAUUUAACCCAUAAUUACUUUUAUUUUAGUCCAAAUCUUCUAGCUUCUCUUUUAUUCUAUUUUAAACUGUUCAGCUAUUAAUUGACCUGAUAUGAUAAUUUUGGUUACAACUAGAGGGAACCGACUAACGUUGGGUCACACUUUAAUAGGGGGGUAAGGCCCAGUGCAUAAUCUCAUCGACGGAGGUCAAUUUAAAAACAAUCCUAGCUACCAUUGGUGGCUUUUUUGUAAGAUAUCGCUUUUUUGAUAACUUACACUCACUUUUUUUGUUUAUUCACAAUUAUGUGUUGUAUGACUUAACAAUUUUUAUGUACACUUUAUGUUAUGUUUUUCUCUUUCCCUUAAUUAUGUUUAAUAGUGUCAGGAGAUGUAAAACUACUGCAGAAAUUAUGAAGGACAACUCUGGAAUCGGGAUCCCGAGGAAAGCCUCUCCACCAUUGAAGGGAUCAAAAGGAGAUGCUGCACCCAUUCCUUCUGUCCAGAGAUGCUGCCUGUCCCGUUGAUUUACUCCACCGUUUUGUGUCUAUCUUUGCUGCUUCAUAAACGCAGCCAAUAUCAUCAAGGACCCACAUCUACCUGCUCUCAUUACAAUCCUGCCAUCAGGGAACAGGCUGCUUAUACUGCUGUAAGUAAAGGGCCUGUCCCACGGGCGACUUAAUUGGUGAGUUUAGAAGAGUUUGAAAAAAUGACAUGUUGAAGGCCUCCUUCGACUAUGUAGAAGACCUCCUUCGACCUCCUUCGACUAUGUUGAAGACCAGCUUCGACUAGCUACGACUAGCUACGACUAGCUACGACUAACUUUGGAAAAAUAGGACACCGAAUAGUGGAGAGUGAAGACGACCUCCUUCGAUCUCCUUCGACCUCCCUUCGACUAUGUUGAAGACUAUCUGCGACUACCCUCAACUACCCUCGAUUACCUACAACUAACAUGCCGACCUACUACGACCUACUACGACUAAACCUACGAGUAAAAAAAUUAUAGAUUUUUUCCAUCGUGGCCUUUUAUGGCUUGCGGGCGUUUUUUAACAUAUUAAAAAAAACGCCGCCACCUACCUGAGGCCUCGAGUACGUGGAGACCACUCUUGAGCAUGAAGGAGAGUUACGAAGACCUCCCACAACCUCGUGUCGACCAUGCUGCGAGUAUGAGUCGAGGGCAAACUUGCCAGAACUUGCGGAUUAGGUCGCCCAAGUGGGACAGCCUCUUAAGAAUUUCAAUGCUCUGGUGUCAAUACACAUGACUAAUUAGAGUUUAAAUUCAGAAAUUGCUUUUGUUUUUUUUCCAAUGUAAAUUGAAAUAAAUGAUGCUGUUUAUUAAUC